AAAUUGAAGAGUUUGAUCAUGGCUCAGAUUGAACGCUGGCGGCAGGCCUAACACAUGCAAGUCGAACGGUAACAGGAAACAGCUUGCUGUUUCGCUGACGAGUGGCGGACGGGUGAGUAAUGUCUGGGAAACUGCCUGAUGGAGGGGGAUAACUACUGGAAACGGUAGCUAAUACCGCAUAAUGUCGCAAGACCAAAGAGGGGGACCUUCGGGCCUCUUGCCAUCGGAUGUGCCCAGAUGGGAUUAGCUAGUAGGUGGGGUAACGGCUCACCUAGGCGACGAUCCCUAGCUGGUCUGAGAGGAUGACCAGCCACACUGGAACUGAGACACGGUCCAGACUCCUACGGGAGGCAGCAGUGGGGAAU
rnacentral:rRNA from 1 species